rnacentral:snRNA from 1 species
AUAGUCUGGUUUCUCUUCAGAUUGGAUAAAUCUUUUACCUUUUACUAAAGAUUUCCAUAGACAGGAACAACUCUGAGUCUUUCACCAAUUUUUUGAGGCCUUGCACUUGCACUUGCAGC